AAGUGGUUUCAGGAUAAUUACUCUGAAGUUUUGAUGAUAAUAAUGUAUAAAAAAAUAAUUGGAGAUUCUAGUGUAUGUUCACCUCAGUUUAUCUAUAUAAAAUGAAUCAAGAUAAUUACUGUGUGAAACACUUAUUUAUAAGUUAUCUGAAUUGCGAAUAAAUAUAAUGAUACAUAUGAACUGAUCAACUAUUAGUUUGUUCUUCUUAGUUGCUAACUCUCUAGGUAAAUGGAAGUACGGAACCAUUGAGAUGAAGUGAUUGUCUCACCCCUCACAUUUUGUUUUAGUUAAGCAGGUUGAGCAAAUUAGAGGUAAGGAAAAAAAAAUCAGAUGACUGAUGUAAUGACCGAAUUUAGUACAUGAUAACAGAUUCAGUUCCUUUCUUUUUGUCGUAGUUUGAUGUUAUUGGAACUAAGCAUGGUGGUUUUAGUUGUGUAUUAAACAUCUUAGACCUAUGUAUUGAAUGUUGUUUGUAUUGAGACCUCUUUUUCCUUGUUCAAACGAGAAUUAUUUGUAAUUUUAUUGUAUCCAGUACUAAUGAUUAAUGUCCAUUUAAAUUAUUCUAGACAAUUUUUUUGUAUGGAUGUUACAUUUGAAGAAAUAUGCUACUACCGAUGAUAGAUAUACACAUUUGAUUUCUUCACUAGAUACAUGAUUUCUUCAAUGCCUUG
rnacentral:lncRNA from 1 species